rfam:Paenibacillus sp. FSL H7-0331 NODE_5_length_373384_cov_1.68674_ID_12083, whole genome shotgun sequence.
GCGGUCGUGGUGGAACGGCAGACACGCUAUCUUGAGGGGGUAGUGUCCCAUGGACGUGCGGGUUCAAAUCCCGCCGACCGCA